UACGUAGGGGGCAAGCGUUGUCCGGAUUUAUUGGGCGUAAAGAGCGUGUAGGCGGCCAGGUAGGUCCGCUGUGAAAACUCGAGGCUCAACCUCGAGAUGUCGGCGGAAACCAUCUGGCUAGAGUCCGGAAGAGGAGAGUGGAAUUCCUGGUGUAGCGGUGAAAUGCGUAGAUAUCUGGAGGAACACCGGUGGCGAAGGCGGCAUUCUGGACCGAUAUUGACGCUGAGGAGCGAAAGCCAGGGGAGCAAACGGG
rnacentral:rRNA from 1 species